rnacentral:rRNA from 1 species
AUUGAACGCUGGCGGCAGGCCUAACACAUGCAAGUCGAGCGAGCGGCGGACGGGUGAGUAAUGUAUGGGGACUGCCCGAUAGAGGGGGAGAACUACUAGAAACGGUGGCUAAUCCCGCAUACUGUCGGAUUACCUCUAUGGUAUUAGCUAGUGGGUAAGGGAAUGGAUGACCCAGGCGACGAUCCCUAGCUGGUCUGAGAGGAUGAUCAGCCACACUUGAACUGAGACAAGGCCCAGACUCCUACGGAGGCAGCAGUGGGGAGUAUUGGACAAUGGGCGAAAGCCAGAUGCAGCCAUGCCGCGUGUAUGAAGAAGGCCCUGGGGUUGUAAAGUACUUUCAGUUGGGAGGCGUUACCGACAGAAUAAGCACCGGCUAACUCCGUGCCAGCAGCCGCGGUAAUUC